UAAAAGUUAGUUUUAAAAAAAAUUUUGGUUUGUGGCACCUUAGAUAAUCAUUGAUUACUUUUAC
rnacentral:tRNA from 1 species